UACAGAGGGUGCAAGCGUUGUCCGGAUUUAUUGGGUGUAAAGGGUGCGUAGGCGGGACGGUAAGUCCGAGGUGAAAGCCCGCAGCUCAACUGCGGAACUGCCUUGGAUACUGCCGACCUUGAGUCCCGGAGGGGUGGCUGGAAUUCCUGGUGUAGCGGUGAAAUGCGUAGAUAUCAGGAGGAACACCGGAGGUGUAGACGGGUCACUGGACGGGUACUGACGCUGAGGCACGAAAGCGUGGGGAGCAAACAGG
rnacentral:rRNA from 1 species